rnacentral:lncRNA from 1 species
GUUUCUUCAGGUGUUUCCUUCUGCCCAUGUUGCCCUCUCGCUUUGAGAGUACAAAUACAUGGGUGUGAGGUAAUGAAUGGUUAAAGGUGCAGGGUGAGCAGGGAUGGCUUGCAUGUCUGGUAGGCUGCUUCUCCGACGACCUAUCAGAUUUCAACAUCAUUACUUGUUCCUUGCAGUUAGAUGUCUACUGGCUACCUAAUGAAGUUUUGAACGAAGUUCAAAGUUUUGAAUGAAGUUUUGAACGAUAGUCAGCAUCUUUGCAUCCAAAAGUCACGGAUCUCAAGAAAUUUUUCUACCACAUGUUCAACAAGUGAGUUCUUGCCCUGUGCCUGUACCUGUGCUAUAUCCCUGGAGCACACAGAAAUGCUAGCCAGAUCAGCAUGUUUUGGGGGCAAAACAUACACGGGUGCUGAGUUCAUGGCCACUCGUUUGCUAGCACUGAGUGAGUUUGGACAUGAGGCUGCACACUUUCAUCUGUGCACUUGAAAGCACAUGUCUCAAAAGUAUCUAGUCCUUGAAAUGCCGGAGAGGGAGGAUGUAGAACAAAUAGCAAAGUAAGUUUAAUGCCUUCAUGUGUAGAAUUUGCAUUCUGAUUUCAGCGGUAGCU